GGGCAUUUGGUCUAGUGGUAUGAUUUUAGCUUCGGGUCCGAGAAGUCCUAAGUUCAAUUCUCAGAAUGUCCC
rnacentral:tRNA from 1 species